rnacentral:rRNA from 1 species
AUUGAACGCUGGCGGCAUGCUUUACACAUGCAAGUCGAACGGUAACAGGUUAAGCUGACGAGUGGCGAACGGGUGAGUAAUGCAUCGGAACGUGCCCAAUCGUGGGGGAUAACGCAGCGAUAGCUGCGCUAAUACCGCAUACAAUCUGAGGAUGAAAGCGGGGGACCGUAAGGCCUCGCGCGAUCGGAGCGGCCGAUGUCAGAUUAGGUAGUUGGUGGGGUAAAGGCCCACCAAGCCGACGAUCUGUAGCUGGUCUGAGAGGACGACCAGCCACACUGGGACUGAGACACGGCCCAGACUCCUACGGGAGGCAGCAGUGGGGAAUUUUGGACAAUGGGCGAAAGCCUGAUCCAGCAAUGCCGCGUGCAGGAAGAAGGCCUUCGGGUUGUAAACUGCUUUUGUACGGAGCGAAAAGGUCCUUUCUAAUACAAGGGGCUCAUGACGGUACCGUAAGAAUAAGCACCGGCUAACUACGUGCCAGCAGCCGCAGUAACAC